rnacentral:lncRNA from 1 species
CUUCCCACUAGGCGCGUGGUACCCGAGGCCGGGCCGGAGCCGCAGGCCAGCCGCGAUUCCUUCGGGCGAUGCUGGGGGCUUUCCGGUCGGGGCCGCAGCCGCUUCCGGAGCCGCGGGCGAGUCGAUUCACCAUGAGCUUGGCUGGCUGUCUUCUUCCUUCAUGGCUGCUAGUAAUGACAGUUCAGUGGCUGUUUCUUCAGCUGUGCAAAGUUGGAACAUGUUUGGGAGUUCAAUGGCAUUGGUUUCUGGUUGGUGCAAGCGGUCUUCUCUGUCUUCUUUAUGGCCAGUAAAAUUCUCCAGAAGAGAUUUAUGGCAGCCUCACUCCCAGUAGUUUCUGCAUUUAGUGAGAUAAGGAAUGGAUUUUCUUCUGUGUAUUGCUGACACGAACAGGAGACGGAAAUACUGAGUAGAGGAGGGCGGUUCCCUGGCUAAGGCCCCACCCUCAAGCCUGGAUACCCGCUGCCCUAAAUGAGAAGAGGCAUUUAUGUUUGGGGCCCAAAAAGUUGCCUUUUGACCCACCACGCCCCCUAUCCUGCCCCCAUAUAAACCCCAAACCCCAACCUCCAGAGCAUACCAGCAGGUGGGAGAUACGAGGCAAGCCGACUGAC